UACGUAGGGUGCAAGCGUUGUCCGGAAUUAUUGGGCGUAAAGAGCGUGUAGGCGGCCCGAUUAGUCCGCUGUGAAAGUCCAGGGCUCAACCCUGGAAUGCCGGUGGAUACUGUCGGGCUAGAGUCCGGAAGGGGCGUGUGGAAUUCCUGGUGUAGCGGUGAAAUGCGCAGAUAUCAGGAGGAACACCAAUGGCGAAGGCAGCUCGCUGGGACGUGACUGACGCUGAGACGCGAAAGCGUGGGGAGCAAACAGG
rnacentral:rRNA from 1 species